rnacentral:rRNA from 1 species
CAGCCGCCGCGGGAAUACGUAGGGUGCAAGCGUUAAUCGGAAUUACUGGGCGUAAAGCGUGCGCAGGCGGUUAUAUAAGUCAGAUGUGAAAUCCCCGGGCUCAACCUGGGAACUGCAUUUGAGACUGUAUGGCUAGAGUGUGUCAGAGGGGGGUAGAAUUCCACGUGUAGCAGUGAAAUGCGUAGAGAUGUGGAGGAAUACCGAUGGCGAAGGCAGCCCCCUGGGCCAAUACUGACGCUCAUGCACGAAAGCGUGGGGAGCAAACAGGAUUAGAUACCCGCGUAGUCCCUGUCUCUUAUAC